rnacentral:rRNA from 2 species
UUAGGUCUGAUGUGAAAGCCUUCGGCUUAACCGAAGAAGGGCAUCGGAAACCGGGCGACUUGAGUGCAGAAGAGGACAGUGGAACUCCAUGUGUAGCGGUGGAAUGCGUAGAUAUAUGGAAGAACACCAGUGGCGAAGGCGGCUGUCUGGUCUGCAACUGACGCUGAGGCUCGAAAGCAUGGGUAGCGAACAGGAUUAGAUACCCUGGUAGUCCAUGCCGUAAACGAUGAGUGCUAGGUGUUGGAGGGUUUCCGCCCUUCAGUGCCGGAGCUAACGCAUUAAGCACUCCGCCUGGGGAGUACGACCGCAAGGUUGAAACUCAAAGGAAUUGACGGGGGCCCGCACAAGCGGUGGAGCAUGUGGUUUAAUUCGAAGCUACGCGAAGAACCUUACCAGGUCUUGACAUCUUGCGCUAACCUAAGAGAUUAGGCGUUCCCUUCGGGGACGCAAUGACAGGUGGUGCAUGGUCGUCGUCAGCUCGUGUCGUG